GUUUCUAUGGGGUUCGAUGUUGGAGAUUGGGGUUUUUGUAUGGAAUAUCAGCUCCCUGUUCAAGCCAGCUGAAACUUCUGGAGGUGGAGAUGGUGGUUAUAUGCAUUUCUGCCACAUUUGCUGGUGUUUGGCUGGAGUAAGAUGGCCAGAACCUAGCAAACUUAACUAUGAUUCCUCAGUUCAGUCCUAGUGGUAGAUCAUUGUCUUACACAUUUCCUUGCUGGGCUUCUCAAGAUUUACCUCUUCUUUAACUUUCAGGUGAAACAAAGGCCUUGGUAAGUGAUGAGGCUUUGUAAGGUUGGGGUAUUUAAUAACUUCCCUGUAAAACAACAGGUAGUGGAAAGUGCUACAUUUAAUGGAUGUCUGAGGAAAGGCUUUGGUUUGAAUGAUGGUGUCCCAUCCAGAAUUUAUGUAGAAACUUAAUCCCUAAUGCAACAGUAUUAAGAGAUGUGACCCCUGGAAUGUGAUUGAGUCAUGAAAGCUAUACCCUCAUGAAUGAGAUUAGCAUCUUUCUAAAAGAGCUUGAGUUUGAAAGGAGCACUCUCCUGCACUUGCAUCCCUUUUGCAAUGUGAGAACACACUGACAUGUGAGGAACUCCCCUCUGGAGGAUGCAGCAACACACCACCAUCUUGGAAGCAGAGGGCAACCCUCAUUGGACACCAAUGCCUACCUUGAUCCUGGAAGUUCCAUCCUCCAUAACUGCAAGAAAUAAAUUUCUGUUUACAAAUUACC
ensembl:lincRNA